rnacentral:lncRNA from 1 species
AUGUCCAGUGAUGCACUGCCACGCUGCACGGGAUGGCGUUGCGAGGACACUGGGGCACCUGGGUGCACCACGCUCCUGGCCAAACCUUCCUGGGGCGAGGACAGACAUUACCAGCAAGAGGCACGUGGCUGCAGCCACGUGGCAGCUUCAGGGAGCCGCCCCCUGCCAGCAAACCUUUGUGGUGUCAACACAGCCAGAGGGAAGAAAACGCCACGCUGCAGGCCGCGGCCGAAAGGCUUGGUGGGAGCGUGGCAGCUAAAGGUGCAAAUAUCACUUCCUUAUUGCAGCCUCCGCGAGCAGCCCUGCCUGUGCAACACAGAGGAUGUUUUGAAUGGCAGUGAAUCAUCUUGUAAUCACGGCUGGUGUGUCCCGGCCUUGGUGUAUCACCAGGCCCUCCUCUGGGUCAAGCCAUCACUUGAGGGUGAAUCAUCGCCGCACAGGUUUCUCCUGGCGCAGGCGGGCACGGCAGCGAGCAGAGCUGCCUGCAGCCUGCGUCAGCCAGGCCGACCGAACGGGCUCUCACCGUCCUGCCCCGCAGCCCGGGGGGCCCGCGGGGCUGCUGCCUGCGGUGAAGCAUCACGGACCCGGCAGCACGGAGAGCCCCGCAGACGAUGUGCUGGGCCGGGCUCUAGGCAGAAGUCAGACAGCAAACCACUAACCGCCGAAGUGAUCACUGUUUCCUCAAAACCUGCUCGCCUGUCACAAGGUUGGCGCUUCUCCAGGUUAGAUCGGUGUCGGCAGCGAGCCGGGGACCCCCGUCACAGAAUCACUGAGGCCAGGAGGGACCCGAGGAGGUCACCUGGUCCGGGACCCCACUCCAAGCCAGGCUGUGAGCGCCCCGCUACUUGUCCAAGGUCUGAAACACCAACACUGCAGAGAAGGGAACCCCAUGCAAGCCAAGGGAGCACGUCCAGGUAUGGGGCCCAGCUGAAGAGAGAGCACGAAGGGAGAAAACAGCAACGUCAGGUAGUACCAGAGGGCUGCAGGACAGACAGAAUAAACUGA